rnacentral:lncRNA from 1 species
CAGAGACUUAGAUGUGACCUAAAAAUACAGUAUUUCCUGUAAGAGGCACUUUUAUUCUACAACUUUGCUGAGCUGAUUUUGAUGUUUACCUCAGCGUGAGAUGAACUUUACAUACGAGGCCUUUUUCGUCAGAUCAUGGCCUUGGGUAGAAGUACUGGAGGCACUGAGCUGCUAGGGUGGCAUGUCUAACUAGAAUUACAUUGAAGGUAAGCAAGUAGCGUUUAAAUAGCAGAGACUUUUCUUUCUGUUGAUUCCAUUGCGUGGUCAGCAUUAAAGACAUCCAAUUAUUCUCCUGGAGAUAUGCUGCCCACCUCUCAGUUUUUAUUUUUAAACCUCUAAAUUUUUGGUGGUGGUUUGGAAUUUGCUGGUUUUGCUAGGUUUUUUACCUUUUGCAGAGGUUUUAAAGACAUUUAAGAUUUAUCUGAGGGGUAUAUCCAGAGGUUCCAACCCUUGAGAGUAUGACAGAAAAUUAGGAAAAGUGUUAAACCAGUACAGAAUAUCAG